rnacentral:rRNA from 1 species
UUGUGCCAGCAGCCGCGGUAAUUCCAGCUCCAAUAGCGUAUAUUAAAGUUGUUGCAGUUAAAAAGCUCGUAGUUGAACUUCAGACCUGGCCGGGCGGUCUGCCUAACGGUAUGUACUGUCUGGCUGGUUCUUACCUCUUGGUGAGCCGGCAUGCCCUUCACUGGGUGUGUCGGGGAACCAUGACUUUUACCUUGAGAAAAUUAGAGUGUUCAAAGCAGGCCUAUGCCCGAAUACAUUAGCAUGGAAUAAUAAAAUAGGACGUGCGGUUCUAUUUUGUUGGUUUCUAGAGUCGCCGUAAUGAUUAAUAGGGAUAGUUGGGGGCAUUAGUAUUCAGUUGCUAGAGGUGAAAUUCUUGGAUUUACUGAAGACUAACUACUGCGAAAGUUUUUGCCAAGGAUGUUUUCAUUAAUCAAGAACGAAGGUUAGGGGAUCGAAAACGAUCAGAUACCGUUGUAGUCUUAACAGUAAACUAUGCCGACUAGGGGAUCGGGCGAUCUCAAUCUUAUGUGUCGCUCGGCACCUUACGAGAAAUCAAAGUCUUUGGGUUCUGGGGGGGAGUAUGGUCGCAAGGCUGAAACUUAAAGGAAUUGACGGGAGGGCACCACCAGGGAGUGGAGCCUGCGGCUUUAAUUUUGACUCAACGCGGGGAAACUCACCAGGUCCAGACAUGGACUAGGAUUGACGGAUUGAUAGCUCUUCAUGAUAUAUGAGGUGGCGGUGCAUGGCCGUUCUUAGUGGGGAGUGAUUUGUCUGGUUUAUUCCGAUAACGAACGAGACCUUAACCUGCUUAAUAGCCAGGUUGGCUUUUGCUGUCGUCUGCAUAGUAGAGGGACUGUCUGCGACUAAGGAGACGGGAGUUAGAGGCAAUAACAGGUCUGUGAUGACCUUAGAUGGUUCUGGCC